rnacentral:rRNA from 1 species
CCUACGGGUGGCAGCAGUGGGGAAUAUUGGACAAUGGGCGAAAGCCUGAUCCAGCCAUGCCGCGUGUGUGAAGAAGGCCUUCGGGUUGUAAAGCACUUUCAGUGGGGAAGAAAGCCUUGGGGCUAAUACCCUCGAGGAAGGACAUCACCCACAGAAGAAGCACCGGCUAACUCCGUGCCAGCAGCCGCGGUAAUACGGAGGGUGCGAGCGUUAAUCGGAAUUACUGGGCGUAAAGCGCGCGUAGGCGGUCUGAUAAGCCGGUUGUGAAAGCCCCGGGCCCAACCUGGGAACGGCAUCCGGAACUGUCAGGCUAGAGUGCAGGAGAGGAAGGUAGAAUUCCCGGUGUAGCGGUGAAAUGCGUAGAGAUCGGGAGGAAUACCAGUGGCGAAGGCGGCCUUCUGGACUGACACUGACGCUGAGGUGCGAAAGCGUGGGUAGCAAACAGGAUUAGAUCCCCUAGUAGUC